rnacentral:rRNA from 1 species
AUUGAACGCUGGCGGCGUGCUUAACACAUGCAAGUCGAUCGGUAACGCGGGGGCAACCCUGGCGACGAGAGGCGGACGGGUGAGGAACGCUUGGGAAUCUGCCUAUCAGCGGGGGACAACCCGGGGAAACUCGGGCUAAUACCGCAUACGCUCUACGGAGGAAAGCCGGGGACCGCAAGGCCUGGCACUGAUAGAUGAGCCCAAGUCGGAUUAGCUAGUUGGCGGGGUAACGGCCCACCAAGGCGACGAUCCGUAGCUGGUCUGAGAGGACGAUCAGCCACACUGGGACUGAGACACGGCCCAGACUCCUACGGGAGGCAGCAGUGGGGAAUAUUGGACAAUGGGGGAAACCCUGAUCCAGCGACGCCGCGUGGGUGAAGAAGGCCUGCGGGCUGUAAAGCCCUUUCGGUAGGGACGAAAGCUCUCGACCUGACACGUCGGGAGGUUGACUUAACCUACAAAAGAAGCACCGGCUAACUCUGUGCCAGCAGCCGCGGUAA